CAUCCCACCUGGGGAGGAGCAGCGUCUGGAUCGCGUGUGAAUCGCGCGUCUGUGUCUCGAAUCCAGUCCUGGGGUGGGGGGGGGGGGCUGAAUGCCAGGGCACCGUGUCACCAUAAAUAUAGCCCGUUAUCUUAUGACACCUCCACUUUCAGCUAGGAGAAGAGCUCCAGAUGAGAGGACACUAUACAAUCACUGAGGAUAAUUUUUUUCUAUUCACAAGUAAAUGGUACGUGCUGUCGAUAUAGUCACAGCCUUCAGGAAUUGAUACUGCGUACUGAAACAUCGUUGUGUACAGGCAGCCGUCAGAAAGCCUGCAAUCCGGCCAAACGCUGCAUUGUGUAAAAAUACGGGCACAGGAGACCUCAUUAUCCCAUGAAAUAUUUACUCCCAACUAUUCCAUUCCUUUUUGCCACUAAUUGUAGGUCAGACGGACCAUAAAGCAUUAAUUCAAUAGCUGGGCACUGUGCAGACUUAUUGAUCUUUAGUUUUAUGCAUUGGGUAAUUUUAUUGCUAUCAAAAUACAUAUUCAGUGUGUAAGAUUAAAUUAAGGUGACAUCUGUCCUGGCACUGGUUUCAGUUUACAGUUGCUUGUAGCAAUAUACAUGUGAAUAAAUGGGACAUUUCUGUCACCUUGUCACAGGAUGUGAAUUUGAAUUAAUACUUGCUUCAUUUUAUUUAUUUUUAUAAAUUAAGCUGAUGACAAAGCAGAAAUUCCAAGCAACCUGACACAAAGUACCUUGUAUUUGCUUUGGAAGCGAAUAUAACCAGUCACUUAAAAAUUAGUGUAUUCUAUAAAAUAUCCUCUUCUUUGAUAAUUAAGAAAUCACUUUAUGCAUCAUAUACUCUUUAAUGGGUAAGUAUUUUGUGCUGUAUUGCAGUGCCUGAAAAGGUAAAUUCAGAGCCUUUUAAAAACAUCUCUUGCCUCUGAGUAAAUAUUUUAAAGAAUAUGUUUUCAUCUAGGAUGGUUUUCUACCUUUAGUGGAGACCGGCUGCAUCAGCAGAAGUAAUGGCAUUCCCAUAAUGAAGAUGAGAGUUAGGCCUUUAAUAUGAGUGUGUGUUUUCUAUUUUUUUACAUCUUCUACUCUUCUUGAAUCAAAAUUAUGGAAAUAGAAAAGCAGGAUCAUACCAAUUGGUAUCUGCUCAAGGCCUACAGGUAAGGAGAGAAUGUGCUCCCUGGUACCUUGCAAGAGCAGGUUCUUCCCUUCUGGAGCUGUGGGUUGCUGGGUUGGCAUUUCUUCCCUUUUGCAUCAUUGCACUGUUUGAUUAUCUGCAUGCUGCUGUGUUUAACACCCUGUUUUCUGGAGCACUUCUUUAAUGUUCACUGUUCUUCACAUUUGUUGCAAUGUGGUAUGUUUAAUUUCAAGCAUACAAGGCCUUCUUUUGUUCUUAGCAGGUGGGAUAGAGUUCAAAUGACUUUCAGCCUUCUUUUCAGAAAAGUUUUCUCCUUUUGCUCUUUUACCCUUGAUGCGUGUAGAGCUCCCACAGCCCAAAUGGGAAUCAUGGAUGAAGGAGGAGGAAAAAAGUUGGGCUGAGUGAGGCAUCAAUCUGUAACAUAAGUUUUAAGCAAUAAUAAAUUCACAUCUCUCAUCUCUAACAGUAGGAAGCACUGAGCCCUCACCCUUACUUCACCACCCCAGCUAAGCACUCCUGUAACCUGCCUUCUGCAGAAUUGGCAAAUAUGCAGCCCUGCAGCAAGCUCAUUUAGCUGAAAGCUGUCCUUUUCCUUUCUGUGAUGUAGGUAAAAUCCAACUAAUGUCUGAACAAAUCCUGAUUCUUACUUAGAAAUCAGUUUCUUCAUGUAAAUAAUGAAAGGUUUUGCUUAUCAGAUCAAUGGGCUAUUCAGUCUUUACACAAUAGGAAAUCAUAAACCCUUCUCUUAUGGCCUUUCCUUCUCUCCAAUCCUCUUCACAUGCUGCAGUGUCUGAUACUCUGCUCAUCAUGAGACUAGUGCCAAUUUCUUUAAUAGUAAAAUAAAGUAUCUGUUACGUUUUCGAUCAGGACUAAAAACCAGAAUCCAUACACAAAUCAUUAGUGAUGCUGUGCUUUCCUGUGCAUUUUACUGCUUGAUUCCCAGCAUGAGUUGUAAAUGAACCUAGCUAACAAGGUGGGAAAGAGCAUCGUAUAUCACAGAGUCAACCUUCCAUGGGACCUACACCAUGAUGCAAUGUAUGUGGCCUGUGGAACGAGUGUGAGCACCCAUCAGGAAUCUCCAUAGCUCUAGCUGUGACAUGUUCAAUGAUUCUUUCAGCAUCUGUGGUCAUUCUUAUUACAGUAUAAUAGUGCUCAUUUAUUUUCACGCACAAGGACUCUACAAAUGUGCAAGCAACAGCUCCAUCCAUGCUUUGCUCCGUGAACACAGGAUGAUGGGCAUAUGACUUCAGUACCCAUGCUAAAGUGCUUUUUAAAUUCUGGGAAACCAUUGUAGCAGUUGGAAUUAAUCUUAUUUUAUUUCUGAUUGUAGAGAUCCAGCUGAAAUUAAUAGAGAAGCAAGAGCAUCAAGAAUGGACCCUGAUGUUGUACGUAAUGGAGAACAGGGCUGUGCACUGCUUUAUUUAAAAGCAGUUUGUGGAAAAACAAGGUAUGGCAAUUUCUCAGCUAGUGUCAAGUAGGACAGCAGAUCAGUGGAGAUGGGAGUAGUUUAUACCUGCUGCAAAUCAGGGGUCAUACUUUUAUUGAACAUAAAUAUAGUCUUUCAUACUUUCACACAAAUCUUCUGCUUUUUCUCUGCUAACCUCUUCAGGCUGCACUCUAUCUGUGGUGUAUCCUUUGUGCUCUGCAGCAAACCUUUUACUCCUUGAUCACUACCAUAGGCCUAUAGUAGCCUAUAAGAAAGGAUUUCCUAAUUCCCUCUUCACCUUCCUUUAUCUACACUUCCUAGUUUCUUUUUACCUCCAUCAUUGUAUAAGAAUAUAUUCUGCUAAUAAAUUAUUUAAAGCUGUUUAGGUCUAAUAAGCUAUGGGGGCUUGCUGCUUGUAAAAAACAUGAUAUUAUGAAAUAAAAUAUGUAGGAUUAGGUUUUGCACUUUAAUUGCAAAGAACUUGCAGGCUUUGGAUCAAGUCCAGUCCUCUGUUCAGUAAUGCAAUGUAGAAGUCAACUAGUCUGUGUGAGAUGUUAUUCUGUUGUUAUAAGUAGGAACAAAUUUCUCUGGCUGCUGUAAAUAACUGAUCUCUAUUAUUGUAUAAUUUUGCUAUUUAAUAUCUCAGAGAUUCCUGUGCAUCUGAGAAGACACUUUGCUAUUCAACCACAAAAGAAAUGUUUCUCUAAUACAGUUAGUUGUCUUCUUAUUUUCUUUUCUUGUCUUUUGUUUAGUAGCAGAAAAAAAGUCAUGAAGUCUGCUGCACUUCUGUUCUGAUGACUGCCUACUAAUAAAUGAUAAGCCUGAACAGCAGUUCUUGCACUUCAGCUUGUUUUUAAAGAAUGGAUUUUGUUACAAUCAAACAUUUAUGUUCCUUAUCUCCUUACUGCCAGUGGUUUUUGAUUUGCACAUCCUGAGCAACACAACAAAUGCUGAAAUCAUGCAAAGAUGUCUGUAAAUGUUCUUAGAGGUCCUUACCGUCUACGAUGAAAAUGGAGAGAGCUCUCUGCCAUUAAAAUGUACCUUUUAUAAUAAUUUGCCUAAUGUUCAAUUCUAAAAGGAGUUCUUUCCAAACCUGACAAGGUUUGUAAGUCUGGGAAAAGUUCAGUUAGUAGAAAACAAAUGUAAUCCUCCGGAAGCAUGAGGAACAGAGGUGAAAGAUGUUAGAAUAGCUGUGGCUGGCCAGUAUCAAUAAAAAGGAGCAACAAAACAAGUAGAUUCCUUUUGCCUAAGGAAGCUCUUGCAAACUAGACACCUUAUUUCUUCUGAUAUUCUUUGAAUGACUCAAUGCCAGGGACUUAAAGAGCAGCCCUGGUCUCUACCUUGAUGUUAAGAUAGGUGAAAGACUCAGGCCUAGGAUUCACCAGAAAUUAUGGACGUGUUGCUGUGACGCAUUGAGUGAGCUCAGUUCUGUUUCUUCAGGGUUGGUUUAUAGAGGAUUGUGAUCUUCAGAGUGUAUUCAUAAGUCCAUAGGUUUGGGUUCCAUCUUCAGUGGCUUUUGCUGAAUCAGGACAGAGUGGGGAACAAGCACCUUCAGGCAAAGCAGCUUUACAACUUUUGCAGGAUAAGACCAAACUACAACAGUACAAGAAGGGAGAGGAGAAACAAUGGGAGACAAGGGAAUGCGAGAAAAACUAGAUGAAAAACCAUCAAGGACUGUACUGCUCCUGCCUAGUGAAAGAUCUUACUGACUUUAAAUGAGGCACAUAGCUUAUCUCUGCCUUUACACUGAGAGCACAAAUACAGCAAGUAAUGCUCAAGAUAGUGCAGCCUUGAUAAUGAUAGUAGUGAAACAGCAAGAGAGUCUCUAACACAGGAGAUACCAUCCACUGCCUGUAACUGCAGGUAGUCACCAGCCUUCAGAAUCAACAAUACAACACCAACCUAGAGACAAACAAAUUUCUCACCCAUCUUUCAGCUGCAAGAGGUCAGGGCUGUUCCUGAUGUGUUUGCUUGACUAGGUUUUGAAAAACACCACCAAGAAGGGUUUUCUCCACAGGCAGCCAUCUCUGCUGUUGUUCCCUUGAUCAGAUUAUUUCCUGUGUCAAACAUGAAAGUACUCUGCUGCAGUUUCAGACCACGUAGAGAAGUGUUUACACCAUUAUUCAUGCCUCUGUUGCCUUGCUAAGGAAUCAAAACUAGCAGAGGUACAGCUGCCCUCAGCACAGUGUUGGAUCAUGUGCACGUGUGGAUCAUGGCGCAAGGUAUUCUAGCUUUGAAGAACAUUUUGGGUCACAGCAUAGAGGAAUUACUUGGUUGUUGUUUAGUCCCUCCAUCACUGUCACACUGCAUGCAGUUCACCAUAAGGCUGAGUAUCCCUCUGCAGUUAUGAAGAUAAUAAGUUGCAGAAUACAGAAGUUUGUGUGCUUGAAUAAUGAGAGAGGUGACUGCUAACACCACAGAAAAUCUAAAUUCUGCUGAGGCAAAUCUCAUGCUGUGAGGCGCUGACAGAAGUGUUGUGGGUAACAUAUGCAAGGUAAUUAUCCUUUCCUGCUUGACCCUGGGAUGCUGACACUGGCAUGGAACAGUUUUGGACACUACACUUUCUCAAGUGUUGCCAAACUGGGAGGAGUCCAGAAGAGGGAAAUGAAAAAGGUAGGAGGUAGAGAAAUCAUGGCCAGAAAACAAGAGCCAAAGUUAUGACUUUUGAGAAAAGCUUGAAGGAAAUUUCUCUGUUUGGUAUAGAAAAGAGAAGACUAGAAAUAAGAUUUAAUGAUAAUCCUGUAUUCAAGGGUUGUUAAAGAGAAAGAUGGUAAUUUGUUCUCAAAGAGACUCUUGCAAAACAGACCAUGAUGAACUCAAUGAAUUUGCAUCACAGAUAUUUUAUGGCGUGGUAUUAGGAAUUUAUCUGUCGUGCAGUACCUAAAUGUGCUACACAGGAGAGUGUUUAUGGAAGGAUUUUAAAAUCAGGUUGGACAAAUUAUUAGGCAUGGUCUAGGUAUAAUAGCCCAAUCCUUCAGAGAGGAAAAAUGACUGUUAGAUCCCAGGAUGUCCUUACCAGGCUUACAUUGCCAUUAUUCUACUAAAUUAAGGCCAGGAACACAGCAGGAUUUGACUUUAUUAUCUUUGCAGAAAAUGUUCAGUUCUAUACCUCAAAUAUACAAGGCUAUUUUAAGGCAUUUUUUGUUUUAUUUGGAUGUUAGACAACCACAAAUAAGAAAGGAAUGUGAUUUAAUUUGGUUUUUAUCUGUCUUUAAUUUUGGGCUGGUUAAAGAAUAAUGAUAUGGGGAAAACAAGAUGUAAUUAAGGAAAUAUAUAAGGGGCCUGUAAAGAAUUAAAUCUGGUGUGUAUAAUGAAAUCCCAGUAAUUUCAGCAGGCCGGUUGAGCUGGUAGCCUUGUUGGCAGAAAUCAGACUAAUUAUACCUACUUUGAAAAUCCAUUCUUAGGAUUAUUGUGGGAAAGAAAAUGGAGCAUAAUACAGAAUACUUUAAUGUGAAAAACUAAGCACACAAGAAAGGAAAAGUCAAGGAGAGGUGUACAAAAUCCUGAAGACCUUAAAAAUCAGAAGCAAUAGUUGAGAAAUAAGUUUAAGUCAAAAAUCUUCUCUGUCUUUGUCAUAGAAUCACAGACUAUCCUGACCUGGAAGGGGCCCACAAGGAUUAUCAAGUCCAACUCCUCUCUCUGCACAGGACAAUAUCAAAAAUCACACCAUGUGCCUGAGAGCAUUGUCCACACACUUGAACUGUGUCAAGUUUGGUGCUGUGACCACUUCCCUGAAGAGCCUGUAACCUAGACAGAGACUGUAAAGGUUUCCAAAGUUGUCAUUUACACCCCUGUGCUCUGCAGUCAUAGUGUAGAAGGGUGGUCACUGGUGGGCUAUGACCCUAACCCUCUUGG